rnacentral:lncRNA from 1 species
GCCACGCUGCCAAGCCCAGGGCUCGGACCAGCUCAGAGCCACCUUCAAGUGACACCAUGCACCUGUACGUGCUCCUGGCUUGUGUGCUGUGGGGGUUAGAAAGCCAUUCCGUCCCAAUGAAGAUUUCACCUGCAUCUUCCCAGAAAAAUUACACAGAAAUCUGUGAUGAGAUUCAGAAAGAACUUUCAGCCGACCACGCUAUGUACAAGGGUGCCUACAACAGUCCCCAGAAUACCAGUGAGGAGCCCUGCUAUGGGGAGUUCACAAAGAAUUUCAUCUCCACCUUGAAGAAUCUGUCUGAACGUAACAGCAACGAGCACAUAAAUAAAAUUUAUAAGGACAUGAAAGAACUCAUCCACAUCUGCUCAAAGCUCAAACCAACAAAAUUGCCCAAGAACUGUAUUAUUGAGCAAAGUAAUUUCUCACGGUUCAAGGAAGCCUUACGGAGUGUGGUCAUAUCCAUAGAAGGAUGGACUUCAUGUGAUAAGAUCAAGGGCAGCCUCUGGGACCCAGCCCUCUCACAGGAGCCUCGUGCACAUGGUUAGAGGUGCAGAAAAUGGGAUUGGAGGAGCCUCAAAAAAAAUUUACUGUCAGGUUGGGGUGGCAGUUUGCUGGGGCUGAGUCAGCAGAUGAGGCCAUGAGUGGACAAUGGGGGGUUGCGGGGGGUGGGGGGAGUCUGAGGAAACUUUUGUAACUGAAACAUCAGCUCCUGUUACUUCAAUAAAGCCCGGGGUAUGGUAACACCGAGUGAAGUUGUGGAGUCCACCCAUGUUGCGG